rnacentral:misc_RNA from 1 species
CAGAAUCGCACCUCUCUCCUCCCUCCUCUUUGCUAUGCCGUGCCACCCUCAUACUCCCUCAGAUUUAUAAUUUUGGUUUUUAAUUUUUUUUUUCAUUUUUAUUGUUCAUCAUUUUUGGGACUAUUGUUGACUAUGUUGGUGUUGUUUAUUGUUGAUUUAUGAGACUAUUUUUGUUUGUGUUCUUCUUAUUCAGUUUUGUUUUUCAAUUUUCCUGUGGACCACCGUGGAGGGUUGGAUUAAUUUUUUUUUUCCGAUUUGCAUGCUGAUCUUUGAGUGUUCUUCUACAAAAACAGUCUUGUCAUG